UACGUAGGGGUGCAGGCGUUAAUCGGAAUUACUGGGCGUAAAGCGCGCGCAGGCGGUCCUUUAAGUCUGAUGUGAAAGCCCACGGCUCAACCGUGGAGGGUCAUUGGAAACUGGGGGACUUGAGUGCAGAAGAGGAAAGCGGAAUUCCACGUGUAGCGGUGAAAUGCGUAGAUAUCAAGGAGGAACACCGGUGGGCGAAAGGCGGCUCCUCGU
rnacentral:rRNA from 1 species